AUUCUUUUAGUAUAUCAGUACAGAUGACUUCCAAUUAUCUAGAUCUAGUCAAACCUAGAAAGGAAUAAUU
rnacentral:tRNA from 1 species